AUCUCUUCCAGUUCACUAUGAUAAUUGUGUGCUCACACAUUUGUUUGACAUGUGCAUCCUUUAAAUCUUGUAUGACAUAGGCACAUUACCCAUCUGACA